AACCAUGUGCCUACAAUCCGUCAAAGCCUCCUUGUGGGGUGAUGGCGUGCCUUUUGAAGAAUGAGCCUGCGAGUCAGGGACACGUCGCGAGGUUAACCCGUGUGGGGUAGCCGUAGCGAAAGCGAGUCUGAAUAGGGCGCCCAUAGUGGCGUGUUCUGGACCCGAAGCGGAGUGAUCUACCCAUGGCCAGGGUGAAGCGGCGGUAAGACGCCGUGGAGGCCCGAACCCACUUAGGUUGAAGACUGAGGGGAUGAGCUGUGGGUAGGGGUGAAAGGCCAAUCAAACUCCGUGAUAGCUGGUUCUCCCCGAAAUGCAUUUAGGUGCAGCGUCGCGUGUUUCUUGUUGGAGGUAGAGCUACUGGAUGGCCGAUGGGCCCUACUAGGUUACUGACGUCAGCCAAACUCCGAAUGCCAAUAAGUUAGAGCGCGGCAGUGAGACGGCGGGGGAGAAGCUCCGUACGUCGAGAGGGAAACAGCCCAGAUCGCCGGCUAAGGCCCCUAAGCGUGUACUAAGUGGAAAAGGAUGUGCAGUCGCGAAGACAACCAGGAGGUUGGCUUAGAAGCAGCCACCCUUGAAAGAGUGCGUAAUAGCUCACUGGUCAAGUGAUUGUGCGCCGACAAUGUAGCGGGGCUCAAGUACACCGCCGAAGCCGCGGCAUUCAUGCAAUACAUUCCCUUCGGGGCAGUGGCAUGGAUGGGUAGGGGAGCGUCCUGCACCCAGCGAAGCUGCGAAGUAAUUCAGCAGUGGAGGGUGCGGGAGUGAGAAUGCAGGCAUGAGUAGCGACAGGCAAGUGAGAAACUUGCCCGCCGAAUGACCAAGGGUUCCUGGGCCAGGCUAGUCCUCCCAGGGUAAGUCGGGACCUAAGGCGAGGCCGACAGGCGUAGUCGAUGGACAACGGGUUGAUAUUCCCGUACCCGUGUGUGCGCGCCCAUGAUGAAUCAUCGGUACUAACCACCCAAAAGGUUCUAGAUCAAUCUCUUCGGAGUGCGACGUGAACCCGCUGCGUGGGACCUUCGGUGGUAGUAGUCAAGCGAUGGGGUGACGCAGGAAGGUAGCUGUACCGGUUAGUGGUUAUACCGGAGCAAGCCCGUAGGACGACAUCUAGGCAAAUCCGGGUGUCAUACGUCUGAGAGGUGACGCAUAGCCGAUUGAGGCGAAUUCAGUGAUCCUAUGCUGCCAAGAAAAGCCUCUAGUGAGUUCACACACGGCCCGUACCCCAAACCAACACAGGUGGUCAGGUAGAGAAUACUAAGGCGUACGAGAUAACUAUGGUUAAGGAACUCGGCAAAAUACCCCCGUAACUUCGGGAGAAGGGGGACCUCGCUUGGUGACCGGACUUGCUCCGUGAGCUGAACGAGGUCGCAGAGACCAGUGAGAAGCGACUGUUUACUAAAAACACAGGUCCGUGCGAAGUCGCAAGACGAUGUAUACGGACUGACGCCUGCCCGGUGCUGGAAGGUUAAGAGGACCCGUUAACCCUUGGGUGAAGCGGAGAAUUUAAGCCCCAGUAAACGGCGGUGGUAACUAUAACCAUCCUAAGGUAGCGAAAUUCCUUGUCGGGUAAGUUCCGACCUGCACGAAUGGCGUAACGACUUCUCAACUGUCUCAACCAUAGACUCGGCGAAAUUGCACUACGAGUAAAGAUGCUCGUUACGCGCGGCAGGACGAAAAGACCCCGGGACCUUCACUAUAGCUUGGUAUUGGCGUUUGGUUCGGUUUGUGUAGGAUAGGUGGGAGACUGUGAAGCAGGCACGCCAGUGUUUGUGGAGUCAUCGUUGAAAUACCACUCUGAUCGUAUUGAACCUCUAACCUCGGACCGUAUAUCCGGUCCAGGGACAGUGCCUGGUGGGUAGUUUAACUGGGGCGGUUGCCUCCCAAAAUGUAACGGAGGCGCCCAAAGGUUCCCUCAACCUGGACGGCAAUCAGGUGUUGAGUGCAAGUGCACAAGGGAGCUUGACUGCGAGACCUACAAGUCAAGCAGGGACGAAAGUCGGGACUAGUGAUCCGGCACCUCUGAGUGGAAGGGGUGUCGCUCAACGGAUAAAAGGUACCCCGGGGAUAACAGGCUGAUCUUCCCCAAGAGUCCAUAUCGACGGGAUGGUUUGGCACCUCGAUGUCGGCUCGUCGCAUCCUGGGGCUGGAGCAGGUCCCAAGGGUUGGGCUGUUCGCCCAUUAAAGCGGCACGCGAGCUGGGUUUAGAACGUCGUGAGACAGUUCGGUCUCUAUCCGCCGCGCGCGUCAGAAACUUGAGGAAACCUGUCCCUAGUACGAGAGGACCGGGACGGACGAACCUCUGGUGUACCAGUUGUUCCACCAGGAGCACGGCUGGAUAGCUACGUUCGGACAGGAUAACCGCUGAAAGCAUCUAAGCGGGAAACCUAUUCCAAGACCAGGUUUCU
rnacentral:rRNA from 1 species